rnacentral:rRNA from 1 species
UACGAAGGGGGCUAGCGUUGCUCGGAAUCACUGGGCGUAAAGCGUGCGCAGGCGGUUCGCCAAGUCAGGUGUGAAAUCCCCGGGCUUAACCUGGGAAUUGCGCUUGAAACUAGCGGGCUUGAGUGUGGCAGAGGGGGGUGGAAUUCCACGUGUAGCAGUGAAAUGCGUAGAGAUGUGGAGGAACACCGAUGGCGAAGGCAGCCCCCUGGGUCAACACUGACGCUCAUGCACGAAAGCGUGGGGAGCAAACAGG